AGCGUUCCCCUCCUCUCCUCUCAUCUCGUCUCGUCUGAGGCCGCGGAUUCCGGCGAUUGAAUUGCGUGUGCUUGCUUUUCUCCCUCCUCAACCUCCCAUGUGGAGGCCUGCUGUGCGGCCUUAGGUCUUGAUUCUAGCUGUGAGUAAUACUAGACGAACACAAUCUGAUUGUAGCCGUGAGUAAUCCUAGUUGAACAGACAUGAAGCGUUUGCAUUCAGGCAAACUAUUUUGUGAGGAAAUCUGAAACCUACACAAUGCUUCUCCAGUGAAAAACUUCCGUCUGCGUCCAGCAUAGUGCACGGAGUGAAAAAAUCCACAAAAGUAAAUCAUGUCUGUGGGUAAUCCUAGUCUUAUUCCUUCCUGAACAGCGUUGCUUCAGUUGAUCAAGUACUUCAAAACUGGCAUGUGAUAUCUAUCAUUCAUAACUGUUUCUGUCUUUGCCUCAUUGAUCUGUCAAGCCGGUGAUUCUUGAUUACUUCACCAGCAAGACAAUUUGUUCGAAUGACUUGGUGGUGGUUUCGCCCGAUGUUGGUGGCGUUGCCAGAGCACACACUUUUGCCAAAAAGCAGAUGCACCUCUAACAAUUGUAGACAAAAGAAGGCAUGGACACAAUGUUGCCGAGGCAACAAGUAGUAUUAUAGCUGGAUUAAUGGGCGCGAGUGGAAGAACGGCUUAACUUGUUUUACAUUCUUGUCCACAGUGGGUAUAUGAGCAGCUAACUAGGAUGCAUAGUAAGAAAAUACUCAUCGAGGCUCUUUUGUAGUUGGUUACGGUUUAUCCACUGCUAGUCAAUCUGCUGGAAAUGUAUAUUGCAUAUGGAGAUGUGCUGCUUCACAAGGUAAUGAAUCUGAUUGGAGAUGUUAAGAGGAAAAGUGUCUGUUGUGAUGGAUGAUAUGAUUGAUACAGCAGGAACUAUUGCCAAAGGAGAUGAGAUGCUGCAUCAAGGAGCAAGAGAAGUCUAUGCAUGCUGUACACAUGCUGUUUAGCCCACCCGCCAUCGAGAGAUUAUCAAGUGGUUUGUUUCAAGAAGUAAUCAUCACAAACACUAUCCCUUCGAAGAAGCAUUGAAGACUUUGCCGAGCGAGGCAAGCAACCUACUUUGAUCAUAUUGAGCCCAUAUUUGCAUUACACACUUAAAAUUAUUUUGCAUGCAUAAAGUAUUGUUUACUAGUAUUGCUAUGCUAAGUAAAUUAGCUGGGGUUUAGCUAUGCCCUAUGUGCUUGAUAUUGACACCCCCUUUGACAUUCUUAAAACCCCUCAUUUCUAACUGGAGGACCACAUACCCACUGGUCACAAAUAAAUGUGGGUCAUAGGUGCAAGUUUAAUAGUGCUUAGCCAUGCGAGUCAUAUAAAUCCUAGGACUUUGGAAGAAUCUUAGCACAUUACCCCAAUAUGGGACGAUGUUGAACAUAGUAUCUUGGUCUGUCUAGUGUACAUCCCUCGCUAGGUGGAUACCCUAUACACUGUGACGAGAAUGGACAAACAUCAAUCAUGGGAAAUUAUGUACCAUCAAGUGGACUCUAUACUUGCAUUGUACUUGAGAAAACUUUUGUUCGAUUGUUCAAGUUGUAUAGACCUAUCACCAAGAGACCUUCAAGAUGCAAAGGCUUGCAUCUUCAAUUGUACAAACUUCAACUUAGUCGGAGUUUCUCCUCUCUCUCAAGCUUAAGCCUUUCUCUAAACCAAACCUAACCCAAGAAACCCAGCCUAACUAUCAAGGAUGUGAUAGCAUGGACUUAUGCUGAUGUACUUAACUUAUGGAAUUGCAAGAGGACCCAUUAAGCACUAACAACUUCUGAUUGGAAUGAAGCCCUACAUGAGAUUGUGAUUUUGUGACUCUAUCAUGUUACACCCUUAAGCUCCCAAUGUAUGCACCAAGUUGGGUUGCCAUACAAAAAUGGUUUUUGUCAAUUAAAAGAUGAGGUAGUUUGAUGGUGAUGUAGAAGUGAUACUGAGGAGAUGGUAGUCAAAGAUAUACGGUGGAUUAUGAGAUUUUAGGGCUAGUAGGUGAGCGUGGCGAUUAUUAUAUUGAUGGACAUAUCUUUAAUUAAUCUUGAAACAAUUUAGAUUUAGUUUGGUGAUUGUUAUCUUGAAGCUAAUUGCAUGGUGGAUUAUGAGAUUUCAUGUGGAUUUGUUAGGUGAUUGUGAUCUUGAGGAGAUAGUUAAAAAUGUUUGGUGCAUUAUGAGAUUCUAGAGCUAGUAGGUGAGCAUGAUGAUUAUUAUAUUGUUGGAUAAACAUAUAUUUAAUUAAUCUGCGAACAAUUUGGCUUUGGUUAGGUGAUUGUGAUAUUUAACUAAAUUUCAUGGUGAUUAUGGGAUUUUAGUCUACUACGUGAGGAUGGUGAUUAUUAUAUUGUUGAAUAAUGAAUCUUCAAUUAGUAUUACAAGAAUGUAUUUAGUUAAGUCAUUAUGGUUUUGACCAAAUUUUAUGGAGCAUUAUGAGAUUUUAGGUGGAUUUAGUUAUGUGAUUGUGCUCUUGAGGAGAUAGUAAAAAAUGUUUGGUGGAUUAUGAGAUUUUAGGGCUAGUCGGUGAGCAUGAUGAUUAUUCUAUUUGUGGAUAAAUAUCUUUUAUUAAUAUUGGAGCAAUAUAAAUUUAGUUCGGUACUUGUGAUUUUGAACCAAAUUUCAUGGAGGAUUAUGAUAUCUUAGCCUGGAUUUAGUUAGGUGAUUGCAAUCUUGAGAAGAUAGUCAAAGAUGUUCGGUGGAUUAUGAGAUUUUAAGUCUAGUAUGAGCAUGACUAUAUUAUAUUGGUUGAUAAACAUACCUUCCAUUAAUCUUGGAACAAUUUGGAUUUCGUUAGGUGAUUGUCAUCUUGAAGCAAAUUUGAUGAUGUAUUAUGAGUUUUUGUGCCUCUACUUAGGUGAUUGUGAUCUUGAGGAGAUAGUCAAAGAUUUUUGAUGGAUUAUGAGAUUUUAGGUCUGGUAUGAGCAUGCCUACUAUUAUAUUGGUGAAUAAACAUAUUUUGAAUUAAUCUUGAAUUAAUUUGGAUUUUUUAUGUAAUUUUGAUCUUGAAGCAGAUUCGACAAUGGAUUAUGAAUUUUUGAUGGAUUUAAUUAGGUGCUUGUGAUCUUGAGGAGAUAGUCAAAAGUGUUCGGUGGAUUAUGAGAUUUUAUGUCUAGUACUUGGGAAUGGUGAUUAUUUUAUUGGUGGAUAAGCAAAUCUUCAAUUAAUCUUGGAACACUUUAGAUUUAGUUAGGUGAUUGUGAUUUUGAACCAACUUUCACAAUAGAUUAUGAUAUCUUAGCCUAGAUUUAAUUAGGUGAUUGUCAUCUUUAGAAGAUAGUCAAAUAUGUUCCAUGGAUUAUGAGAUUUUAGAUAUAGUAUGAGCAUUUCUACUAUUAUAUGAAUAAAUAAACAUAUCUUCAGUUAAUCUUGGAACAAUUUGGAUUUAUUUAGGUGAUUGUCAUCUUGAAGCAAAUUUGAUUAUGGAUUAUGAGGUUUUGAUGGAUUUAGUUAGGUGAUUGUGGUCUUGAAGCAAAUUUGACGAUGGAUUAUAUGUUUUUGAUAGAUUCAAUUGUGUGAUUGUGAUUUUGAGGAGAUGUUCUAAAAUGUUCGGUGGAUAGUCAAAUUUUAGGUCUAGUAUGUGAGAAUGGUGAUUAUAUUGGUGGAUAAACAAAUCUUCAAUUGAUUUUGAAACACUAUGGAUUUAGUUAAGAGCGACAGCUAGAUAGACAAGACUCCCAACAAGAUGACGAUAAAGCGUUAGAUCAUUAAGCUCCAUUAGUAGCACGGAGGUGAACAUUGAGCUCCAUGGGAGUCUCAACAGUGCGCUCAUCAGUAAGAGUAACAAGAGCAAGAAGAUCCUGGAUUAUUAACUUUGAGCAAGAAGAGACCCGAAACUCAAGAAAGUAGCAAAGAUGGCCAAAAUCAGACAUAAGAAACUCCUUACUAAGACGUGUCAUCACAAAGGUAAAAUAAUAUACCCAGGGUCUUUGCCCGUGAUGAUCAUGUCAUCAACAUAUAGAAGAAGACUCUUACCAAGAGCAGAAAGGUGGACAAACAACGUAGGAUCAUGAGUACUCGCUGAAAACCAGCAACAACCACCCCAGAGGCAAAACACUCAAACUAGGCACAAGGGGCUUGCUUAAAGACAUAGAGAGAGCGAUGAAGACAAUGAAGCAUGUCGUCCGGAGCAGAAUACCCAGGUGGUGGUUGCAUGUAAACCUCCUCAUGCAGCUCACCAUUAAGAAAGGCAUUCUUAACAUCAAGCCGAGACAGACCCGUGGCCAAUAGAGGCCACAACAAGAAGUGUGCGAGCAGUGGUCAUAUGGUUUGCACGAGCAAAAAGUCUCAUUGUAAUCAGGACUCAUAAUCUGCUGAAAGCUACGAGCCACAAGACGAGCUUUGUAACGCUCAAGAACCAUCAGAGCGAGUCAUAACAUUGUAGACCCACCAAGUGAUGGGACGAACACGAGGAGGAAGAGAAACAAUGUCCUACUUGCCGAUGUGCUCAAGAGCAGCAAUCUCCUUUGCUAUUGCAAGGUGCCACUUGGUAUGAACAACGUGAUGAUAAGAAAUCGGCUCAAGAACAACAGCCCAACGCUUGGAAGACCAAGGCGGUCAACAGACGAAAGCGAACGAGGAAGCAAGUCAUAAGUAGGCCGAGGCAGGGAAGAUGGCACAUCAGUAGACGCAUCCACAACAUGCGGAUGAUGUGUAUAAAAGUGAGGAAAAGAUGGAAGAAUACGAGCUGAAAUCAUCGGGAUAAACUAAGGUGAUGGAGACAAGGAAGCCACUGGUGAUGAUGGUGUAGAAUCCUGUGAUAAAUGAGGUGAGGAAAUCAUAGGAGAUGAUGGUGUUGGCUCUGCAAUAGUCGGAGAAGCAGGAGUAGUAUGACGAAUGGAUAAGGGCUCAACAGGAGUGAUAGGAGUGUCGGGAAAAUUGUGGAAAGAGUCCACUGAAAAGGUAGAGGAAGAUGGACGCGGGUAGUAGGGACGAGACUCAUCAAAAGUCAUAUCCCGAGAAAUAGUCAUCCUGCGACCAACAUGAUCCCAAUAGCGAUAUCCCUUAUGCUCAUAGUGGUAUUCUAAGAAGACACACACAACGGACUGAGCAGUCAGUUUGGUGCAUUCACGUGGGGCAAGGACAUAGCAAACACAACCAAACAUUUGAAGCGUUGAAUAAUCAGGAAAUGAUCAAAGUCGUGCCACCCUGCAGAGCAGUGGAUUGUCGAAGGUUGAUGAGAUAGAUGGAAGUGGAGACAGACUUGGCCCAAAAGUGCGAGGAAAGAGAGGCAAUGACCAUCAACGGACGAGCCGUCCCAAGAAGGUGACGAUGCUUGCACUCAGUCAUGCCAUUCUGAGCAUGUGCACCUGGAUAAGAGAACCGAAUGCAAGAGUACCCUGCUCAGCAAGGAUUCCACGCAACAGCUUGGGAUAUAUACCUCCCACCAUAGUCAUCACAGAACACACAAAUAGGCGUAGAGAACUGAGUAUGAACCAUGGCAGCAAAACGCUUAUAGAUAAGACCUCACUACGAGAAGAAAUAAAGUAUAUCCAGGUGUGUCGAGAGAAGUCACUAGUGAUGACCUCCUUUCGAGGCAAAGGGAGAUGGACCCCUGACAUAAGAGUGAACAAGGUGAAAAGGACGCCGAGACACUGUCUCGUUAUGAGUAAGGUAAUUGGACAUGUUUACAUAGCCAACAACCUUGACGGUUUAGAGACAUCGUCGGAGACGGAUCUAAGAAGGCCACGUCAAACUAAGGAUGAGAGAUCACAAGUGACCCAAGGCGAUGAUGCCACUACUGAAAAUAACUGGUAGACAAGGCAAUAGAGGCAGAGACUGGCGGCAGUGGCAAUAGAGGGACUUGAUCCUGCAUCCCACGUGCCCCGAUCCGGAUUGGUGUUCUUCUCCUGUUUGCGGCUUGUGGUUUAGAGACAUGUUUACAUAGCCGACAACCUUGACGGUUUAGAGACAUCGUCGGAGAUGGAUCCAAGAAGACCAUGUCAAACUAAGGAUGAGAGAUCACAAGUGGCCCAAGGCGAUGAUGCUACUACUGAAAAUAAUCGGUAGACAAGGCAACAGAGGCAGAGACUGGCGGCGGUGGCAACAGAGGGACUUGAUCUAGCAUCCCACGUGCCUGUGCACUCUCCGUACCCUUCCGAUCCGGAUUGGUGUUCUUCUCCUGUUUGCAGGUUGUGGGUCACGCACUUGAUUAAGCACCCCAGGUUCUCCUACUGUGCGCCCUUGGCCCCGGCUUUAGGUAGCGCCUUGUCCUCGGCUCGCCGUGCAUAAUCCAGGUACGCGUCGACUGUCCGAGCUCCUGCUCACCAUUGGUGGUGCUCGAGCGUGUGGUUAUGGUGUCGCACAACAAGGGAACACGGGAUGUGGGAUUGAGACAGCACCCUUAGCAACCCGCAGCAAGGCAAAGGAUGCCCAUCUAGACUGGCAGGGAAUGAAGGUGGACACAAAGGUGGAUGUUGACUUCAUAGAAGUCUCAAUAGUGCGCUCAUCGGUAAGAGUAGCACGAGCAAGAAGAUCUCAAGGAAGUACCAAAGCGAACCAAGACAAAGGUGGAUUAUGAGAUUUUAAGUAUAGUAUAUGAGCUUGGCUAUAUUAUAUCUUGAAGCAAAUUUGGCGAUGGAUUAUGAGUUUUUGGUGGAUCUACUUAGGUGAUUGUGAUCUUGUGCCAUAGUCAAAGAUGUUCAGUGGAUUAUGAGAUUUUAGGUCUAUCAUGAGCAUGACUACUAUUAUAUUAGUGGAUACACAUAUCUUCAAUUAAAAUCUUGAAAUAAUUUGGAUUUAGUUGCGUGACUUUAAUCUUGAAGCAAAUUUGACGAUGGAUUAUGAGUUUUUAAUAGAUUUAAUUAGGUGAUUGUGAUCUUGAGGAGAUAUUCUAAAAUGUUUGGUGGAUAAUGAGAUUUUAGGUCUAGUACGUGAGAAUGGUGAUUAUUAUAUUGGUGGAUAAACAAACCUUCAAUUAAUAUUGGAACACUUUGGGUUUAGUUAGGUUAUUGUGAUUUUUAAACCAAAUUUCAUGAUGGAUUAUGAUAUCUUAGGUGAUUGUCAUAUUGAGAAGAUAGUCAAAGAUGUUCCAUGGAUUAUGAGAUUUUUGAUAUAGUAUAAGCAUGUCUACUAUUAUAUGAAUAAAUAAACAUAUCUUCAGUUAAUCUUGGAAGAAUUUGGAUUUAUUUAGGUGAUUGUCACCUUGAAGCAAAAUGAUGGAUUAUGGGAUCUUGAUGGAUUUAGUUAGGUGAUUGUGAUCUUGAAUAGAUAGACAAAGAUUCAGUGGAUUUUGAGGUUUUGGGACUAAUAUAAGCAUGACUACUACUAUAUUUGUUGAUGAACAUAUUUUUAACUAAUCUUGAAUUUUUUGGAUUUAGUUAGGGGAUUAUGAUCUUGAAGCAAAUUUGAUGACGGGUUGAGUUUUUGAUAGUACGUGGUUGUGACUUUGAGGCAGGGAUGGCAGUUUUGCCCAUGGGUAUGGGUAUACGUGGGUACCCUACCCCAAAACAACGGGCAUGGGCAAGAGUGCAAGACUUGGCAAAAUUUUGUACCCAUGAGUAAUGGGUAUCCAUACCCGCAAAAUAUAUGGGUAGGGCAUGGAUAUUAGAUUGCGCCCAUGGGUAACCCAUUAGAUACCCAGAAAAAAAUAAUAAAUAAAAAUAACUCCUAUGACAUGUGGGGCCAACAUCCAACUCCUAUGGCCCAACUCUCAAUCCCUCAUCCCCUAAACCAACCAUAGCUCAUAGGCUCGCAACAACCAGCUUGCACUCCUAUGUCCUAUGUGACUCCUCGAAAUGAUGAAAUCUCAACUGAUCACCAACGCACACUUGGCCAAUUCUUGAAAUAGCAAUCCCCAGUUUUUGCUGCCGCCUCCCACUAUGUCGGGCUUCCACCAACCGCUUAUCGUACUCCCUUAUGCUUAGUCAAGUGAGGAUUCCAUUCGAAGUAACGUAACAGGAGCACCAUCUUCAAAACUUCUCGGGAUCCGGAGUUUUUCGAUAAAAGGUCCCAUCCUUCAAUAUCAUGAUUGGGUCAACCAGGCCAGAUCAUAAGUGAAAUAGUUUGAUCGGGUCGACCAGGUCAGGCCCGAUCACGAGUGAAUAGAAAAUCAAAAAACGUACAUAGCUGUUCCAGCGGAAAUACUUUGUUUAAUUCUACCACUUCUACUAGGAGUAGCCUUUUUAGUGCUAGCUGAACGUAAAGUAAUGGCUUUUGUGCAACGUCGAAAGGGUCCUGAUGUAGUGGGAUCGUUCGGAUUGUUACAACCUUUAGCAGAUGGUUUGAAAGAAUUAGCCGCCCACCUGAGGAGGUCGCAUCGGUACUGGACAGAUCGCCCAUUGAAUUUUACACUCAUUUCACUACUUAAAAACUUAAAUGCUCUAUGUUGUACCCAUUGGGUAUAGGGUAUCCGAUGGGUAUGGGCAUGGGUGUCAAUUUGUGCCCAUGGGUAUUGAAAUGGGUGGGUAUAGAAAGUUUCUAUGGGUAUGGGUUUGGGUAGGAGGCUGUACCCACGCAUACCCUACCCAUUGUCAUCCUUAACUUGAAAAAAUUGUCGAAAUGUUCGGUGGAUUAUGGGAUUUUAGGUCUAGUACAUUAGAAUGGUGGUUAUUUUGGUGUAUAAAUAGAUUUUCAAUUAAUUUUGGAACAAUUUGGAUUUAGUUAAGAGAUGGUCAAAGUUGUUUGGUGGAUUUAGUUUGGUGAUUGUGAUCUUUAGGAGAUUGUGAAAGAUGUUCGGUGGAUUAUGAGAUUUUAAGUCUAUAAUGAGCAUGGCUAUACUAUAUUGGUGGAUAAACAUAUCUUCCGUUAAUUUUAGAACAAUUUGGAUUUAGUUAGGUGAUGGUCACCUUGAUGCAAAUUUGACAAUGGAUUAUGAGUUUUUGGUGGAUCUACUUAUUAGGUGAUUGUGAUAAUAUGGAGAUAGUCAAAGAUGCUCGGUGGAUUAUGAAAUUUUGGUUCUAGUAUGAGCAUGACUACUAUUAUAUUAGUGGAUAAACAUAUUUUCAAUUAAUCUAGAGAUAAUUUGAAUUUAGGUAGGUGAUUGUGAUCUUAAAGCAAAUUUACCAGUGGUUUUAGUUAGGCGAUUGUGAUCUUGAGGAGAUAGUCAAAUAUGUUUGGUGGAUUAUGAGAUUUUUGGUCUAGUAUGAGCAUGCCUAAUAUUAUGUUGGUGGAUAAACAAUCAUUAAUUAAUGUUGAAAGAACUUCGAUUUAGUUAGGUGUUUAUCUUGAAACAAAUUUGGUGAUGGUUUAUGAGUUUUUACUGGAUUUAGUUAGGUCACUGUGAUUUUGAGGAGAUAGUCAAAGAUGUUCAGUGGAUUAUGAGAUUUUAGGGUUAGUAUGAGCAUGACUACUUUUAUGUUGGUGAUAAACAUAUCUUCAAUUAAUCUUGAAACAACUUGGAUUUAGUUAGGUGAUUAUCAUUUUCAAGCAAAUUUGAUGAUGGUUAUGAGUUUUUAGUGGAUUUAGUUAGGUCAUUGUGGUUUUGAGAAGAUAGUCAAAGAUGUUCAGUGGAUUAUGUGUUUUUGGUGGAUUUAGUUCGGUGAUUGUGAUCUUGAGGAAAUGGUUAAUGAUGCUCGGUGGCUUAUGAGAUUUUAAGUCUAGCAGGAGCAUGGCUAUAUUAUAUUGGUUGAUUAACAUAUCUUCCGUUAAUCUUGGAACAAUCUGGAUUUAGUUAGGUGAUUGUCAUCUUGUAGCAAAUUUGAUGAUGUAUUAUUAGUUUUUGAUGGAUCCACUUAGGCGAUUGUGAUCUUGAGGAGAUAUUCAAAAGAUGUUCCGUGGAUUAUGAGAUUUUUAGGUCUAGUAUGAGCAUGACUACUAUUAUAUUGGUGGAUAAACAUAUUUUCAAUUAAUCUUGGAAUAAUUAGGAUUUAGUCAUGUGAUUUUGAUUUUGAAACAAAUUUGACGAUGGAUUAUGAGUUUUUGAUGGAUUUAAUUAGGUGAUUGUGAUCUUGAGGAGAGAUUGAAAAAUGUUUGGUGGAUUAUGAGAUUUUAGGUCCAGUACGUGAGAACGGUGAUUAUUAUAUUGGUGGAUAAACAGAUCUUCAAUUAAUCUUGGAGCAUUUUGGAUUUAGUUAGGUGAUUGUGAUUUUUAAACCAAAUUUCAUGAUGGAUUAUGAUACCUUAGCCUGGAUUCAGUUAGGUGAUUCUCAUCACGAGAAGAUAGUCAAAGUUGCUCCAUGAAUUAUGAGAUUUUAGAUAUAAUAUAAGCAUGUCUACAUUAUAUGAAUAAAUGAACAUAUCUAGUUAAUCUUGGUACAAUUUGGAUUUAUUUAGGUGAUUGUCAUCUUGAAGCAAAUUUGAUGAUGGAUUAUGAGGUUUUGAUGGAUUUAGUUAGGUGAUUGUGAUCUCGAGUAGAUAGACAAAGAUGUUUGAUGGAUUAUGAGGUUUUAGGACUAGUAUGAGCAUGACUACUACUAUAUUGGUUGAUAAACAUAUUUUCAAUUAAUCUUGAAUUUCUGGAUUUAGUAAGGUGAUUGUCAUCUUGAAGCAAAUUUGACGAUGAGUUUUUGAUGGAUUCAAGUACGUGGUUGUGGUUUUGAGGAGAUGGUCAAAAAUGUUUGGUGGAUUAUGAGAUUUUAGGUCUAGUAUAUGAGAAUGGUGAUUAUGUUGGUGGAUAAACAUAUUUUCAAUUAAUUGGAACAUUUUGGAUUUAGUUAAGAGAUAGUCAAAGAUGUGUGGUGGAUUAUGAGUUUUUGGUGGAUUUAGUUUGAUGAUUAUGAUCUUUAGGAGAUAGUUAAACAUGUUCGAUGGAUUAUGAAAUUAUCAGUCUAGUAUGAGCAUGGCUAUAUUAUAUUGGUUGAUAAACACAUCUUUCGUUAUUCUUGGAACAAUUUGGAUUUAGUUAGGUGCUUGUCAUCUUGAAGCAAAUUUGACGAUGGAUUAUGAGUUUUUGGUGGAUCUACUUAGGUGAUUCUGAUCCUGAGGAGAUAGUCAAAGAUGUUAGGUGGAUUAUGAGAUUUUAGGUCUAGUAUGAGCAUGACUACUAUUAUAUUGGUGGAUAAACAUAUUUUCAAUUAAUCUUGAAAUAAUUUGGAUUUAGUUAUGUGAUUUUGAUCUUGAAGCAAAUUUGACGAUAGAUUAUGAGUUUUUGAUGGAUUUAAUUAGGCAAUUGUGAUCUUGAGGAUGUAGUAAAAAAUGUUCGGUGGAUUAUGAGAUUUGAUUAUUCUGUUAGAGGAUAAACAGUUUUUGAGAUUUAAUUUAAUUAUUCCUGGAACCAUUUGGAUUUAGUUAGGUGAUUGUCAUCUCAAACCCAAUUUCAUGGUGGAUUAUGAGAUUUUAGAUUUAAUACGUGUGAAUGGUGAAUAUUAUAUUGGUGGAUAAACAUAUCUCUAGUUAAUCUUGGAACACUUUGAUUUAGUUAGGACAUUGUGAUCUUUAAGCAAAUUUGUUAGUGAAUUACUCCCUCCGUCCUAAAAUAAAUGACUUAAGUUUGUACUAACUUGGUACUAGAGGGAGUAUGAUAUUUUAGGUGGAUUUAGUUACGUGAUUGUGAUCUUGGGGAGAUAGUUAACGAUGGUCGAUGGAUUAUGACCUUUUAGGUCUAGUGUGAGCAUGACUACUAUUAUGUUGGUAGAUAAACAUAUAUUCAAUUAAUUUGGAUUUAGCUAGGUGAUUGAUCUUGAAGCAAAUUUGACGAAGGAUUAUAAGUUUUUGGUGGAUUUAGUUAGGUGAUUGUGGUCUUGAGGAGCUGUAUAAAAUAUUUGGUGGACUAUGAGAUUGUAGGUCUAGCACGUGAGCAAUGUGAUUAUUAUAUUAAUGGAUAAACAAAUCUUCAAUUAAUCUUGGAACACUUUGGAUUUAUUUAGGUGAUUGUGUUCGGUUGAUUAUGAGAUUUUAGGUCUAGUACAUGAGCAUGGUGAUCAUUAUAUUGGUGGAUAUACAGAUUAUUCAAUUAAUUUUGGAACACAUUAGAUUUAGUUAUGUGAUUGUGAUCGUGAAGCAGAUUUAUCAGUGAAUUAUGAGAUUUUAGGUAGAUUUAGUUAGGUGAUUGUGAUCUUGAGAAGAUAGUCAAAGAUGUUCGGGAGAUUAUGAGAUCUUAGGCCUAUUAGGUGAGCAUGGUGAUUAUUAUAUUAUCGAAUAAACAAAUCUUCAAGGAAUUUUGCAACAAUUUAUAUUUAGUUAGGUGCUUGUGAUCUUGAACAAAAAUGCACGGUGAAUUACAAAAUUUUACGCUGAUUUAGGUAGGUGAUUAUAAUCUUGAGAAGAUGUUAGGUGGAUUAUGAGUUUUUAGGGUUAAAGGAUGAGCAUGAUGAUUAUUAUAUUAUUGGAUAAACACAUAUUUAGUUAAAUCUUGGAACAAUUUAGAGUUUAUUAGGUGAUUGUGAUCUUCAACUAAAUUUCAUGGUGGAUUAUAAGAUUAUUGGUGGAUUUAGUUAGGUGAAGCACGUGAGUAAUGUGAUUAUUAUAUUGAUGGAUAAACAAAUCUUCAAUUAAUCUUGGAACACUUUGGAUUUAGUUAGGUGAUUGUGUUCGGUUGAUUAUGAGAUUUUAGGUCUAGUACGUGAGCAUGGUGAUCAUUAUAUUGGUGGAUAUACAGAUUAUUCAAUUAAUUUUGGAACACAUUAGAUUUAGUUAUGUGAUUGUGAUCGUGAAGCAGAUUUAUCAGUGAAUUAUGAGAUUUUAGGUAGAUUUAGUUAGGUGAUUGUGAUCUUGAGAAGAUAGUCAAAGAUGUUCGGGAGAUUAUGAGAUCUUAGGCCUAUUAGGUGAGCAUGGUGAUUAUUAUAUUAUCGAAUAAACAAAUCUUCAAGGAAUUUUGCAACAAUUUAUAUUUAGUUAGGUGCUUGUGAUCUUGAACAAAAAUGCACGGUGACUUACAAAAUUUUACGUUGAUUUAGGUAGGUGAUUAUAAUCUUGAGAAGAUGUUAGGUGGAUUAUGAGUUUUUAAGGUUAAAGGAUGAGCAUGAUGAUUAUUAUAUUAUUGGAUAAACACAUAUUUAGUUAAAUCUUGGAACAAUUUAGAGUUUAUUAGGUGAUUGUGAUCUUCAACUAAAUUUCAUGGUGGAUUAUAAGAUUAUUGGUGGAUUUAGUUAGGUGAUUGUGCUAUUGAGUAGACACUCAAAGAUGUUUGAUGGAUUAUGAGAUUUUAGGCUAGUAAGUGAGCAUGACUAUUAUUCUAUUGGUGGAUAAACAGAUCUUUAACUAAUCUUGGAGCAAUUUUGAUUUAGUUACAUGAUUGUGAUCUUGAACCAAUUUCACAAUGGAUUAUGAGAUUUUAGAUGGAUUUAGUUAGGUAAUUGUGGUCUUGAGGAGAUGGUCAAAGAUGUUUGGUGUAUUAUGUGAUUUUAGGUAUAGUAUGGGCAUGCCUACUUUUAUAUUGGUGGAUUAACAUAUAUUCAAUUAAUCUUGGAAGAAUUUGGAUUUACUUAUGUGAUUGUGAUCUUGAAGCAAAUUUGACGAUGGAUUACGAGUUUUUGGUGGAUUUAGUUUGUCGAUUGUCAUCUUGAGGAGAUAGUUAAAGAUCUUCGAUGGAUUAUGAGAUUUUAAGUCUAGUAUGAGCAUGGCUAUAUUAUAUUGGUGGAUAAACAUAUAUUUUGCUAAUCUUGAAACAAUUUGGAUUCAGUUAGGUGAUUGUCAUCUUGAAGCAAAUUUGACGUUGGAUUAUGAGUUUUUGGUGGAUCUACUUAAGUGAUUGUGAUUUUGAGGAGAUAGUCAAAGAUGUUCGGUGGAUUAUGAGAUUUUAGGUCUAGUAUGAGCAUGACUAUUAUUAUAUUGGUGGAUAAACAUAUUUUUAAUUAAUCUUGAAAUAAUUUGGAUUUAGUUAGGUGAUUUUGAUCUUGAAGCAAAGUUUAUGAUGGAUUAUGAGUUUUUGAUCGAUUUAAUUAGUUGAUUGUGAUCUUGAGGAGAUAGUAAAAAAUGUUUGGUGGAUUGUGAGAUUUGAUUAUUUUAUUAGUGGAUAAACAGAUUUUUAAUUAUUUUUGAGGAAUUUGGAUUUAGUUAGGUGAUUAUGAUCUUGAACCCAAUUUUACGAUGGAUUAUGAGAUUUUAGCUGGAUCAGUUAGGUGAUUGUGGGCUUGAGGAGAUAGUCAAAGAUGUUUGGUGGAGUAUGAGAUUUUAGGUCUACACCUAGUUUCAAUGGAUAUGCUGCCGACCUUCGGCACGGCUGGUUUCGAAUGCGCCGAGGGCUUGGAGUAUCACAACAGAUUCUUGUACAUUCUUACUACAGAUACGAUUAACAUGAGAGAUAAACCAACUCCGAAUCUGAAGAGCAAUGGAUGUCGAAUCAUCAACUAGCUCCGGCCUGUAGCUUGUUCAGCACCAUAAGACAAUCUGAAGCCAGAAUCAUCACUCGCCAGUAGCCUUCUGGUAGAGCAAAAUGCAAAGUCAGAGGGCAUCAAGCAAAACAAGGCCCGGAGUAUAUACUGCAGCAUCCUAGUGAGGCAUGACGCUGCUGGAAGGUCCUGUAUUGAGAACACGAUACAACAUUAUGUGAAGUCCAAGGCUGAUUGGUGGACAAAUGUCGUGAGCAUAUCCGGCGUGGUGCUACAGUUGACAAGACUGUCUGCCGCCAAAAUCUUGGAAGGUUAACUCAUUUGUGGCUGAAGGCAGAACAAGUGAGACAACACAACUACUUGAAAGAUGGGUCAUAUGUGACACCUGAAGAAGCAGGUUCUGUUUAUCCAACUAUUUCCCGUGCACAUCUUUGGCACAAGGUCCAUGAAAAUGUUGCUAUGAAUCUUUGACAAGUUCUGGUUCAGGAGGAUGUGCUGGAGAUUGAGACAGUACAGAAGGAGACAAUACAUCCAAGGAAGAGUUGCAAGAUGAACAGUUCAUGUGCAGAUGUUGUUUUUGCUGCACAUAGGGGCAGAUGUCCAAACCAAGCUUAGUUUCUGAGUCAAAGGAUGUCUUCGAUCAGAAAGCCAGUAACAAGCACUGGAUUCAUGUGCAACCAAGAUGGGGAGAUUACGAUUCACACGACAUAGAAUGUUACGCAAGAGCAAAAUUUAUGGACUACAUGACAGAUAAUUUGUCCAUCUACCGUUCUCCGACUGGGGUGAUGAUUGGACUUGAUCUAGCUUAUAAUUUGCACUCUGCUUUUGGUAAUUGGUUCCCCGGGUUAAAGCCCCUCCUUCAGCAAGCAAUGAACAAGAUCGAUGUAAAAUCAUGUUCUGUAUGUGCUGAGGGAGAGAAUAGGAAAGGGUCUUGAGUUGUAUUCACAGAACUACGGCACGGAGAGAUAUUCAGCAAUCAAAUCAUAUGGUUUGUGGAUGACACAGAUGUCUAUCGAGGAGUUACCAUUCACAAAACCGAGGGUAACCUGACGGCCAAACCAAUCAAUGGUGCUAUCUUUAUUUUCAAUCCAAGAACUGGUGAACCAACUAUUUCUGAAGGUCAUCCACACAAGUGUAUGGGCAGGAAAAAACCGUCUAGGGCAGGACAAAGCUAAUUAUUGUGGCAAGGAAGGGUAUGUUGGAUCCCUUGGAAGUCAAAGCAAAUUAUUGUGACAAGGAAGGGUAUGAGCAAGCAGCAUUUGCAUCGAAGACAGAUUUGCGUGUCAGGGCCAUCUCUGCUAUGAACCUGUAUCUCCGGGUCAACCACAUUUAUGUUAACUCGGAUGAUAUAAAGGGGACUGGCUAUACUUACAUCACGCCAAAGAAUAUAUUGAAGAAUUUGAUAUGCAUAGCAGAUCUACGGACACAGGUUGCAGGUUUCCUGUAUGGGCUGAGUCCACAGGAUAAUCCUCAAGUCAAGGAGAUGAGAUUAUCCAUUCCGCCACAGCAUGGAAGUCACCAAAUGGUGAAUUUGCUAGCGAAUCUCCCAGAGCACGAGUUCCUUGCUGACUUGGAGCCAUUGGGAGCCAGCCGAAUGAAGCUCCUCAGGAUUUGGCAUGACAUGCUAGAAUUUUGGAGAAGAACAAGGCGUGGCAUGGUGAAAAGUGCAUCAUUUUGACCCGCCGGUGAACAUCGUGGUCAGUGGUUAUGUUUGCGAGAAGAAAAAAACCUAUCGUGAUUGGAGCACUGAUCUUAUGCACAACCCUUCACGACAGUUCCGAGCCUCGUUGCGUGCGCACGUCCCAUGGAAACCGACACCUGACAGCAAUAGCAGUGGAUGUUUCUUCUUCCUUGUGACUAGAGUUGUUUUGACAGUAACUUGGAUUAUGAGGCACAGGCAUCAUUAGGCCAGCAGUCUGAAGGUAGAGGAAGGUGCAUAGCAGCACAUGAUCCGUCCUGUACCAGCAAUGGAGAGGAAAUCUAUAGCAAUGGAAGAGAGGAGAUUUAGUGUACUACCAUCCAUCCAUGGGAUCCAUCCAAUGCUACCAUUGUGUUGUGUAAUGAGUCAAUAUUUCAGUAUCAUCCUCACACACAAAAAGAUGCUUCAGCAUUAUAUUACGUUGUAAUAGAUGAAUGUACGUUUAGUAGUAGGCAUCGCACUAAACCCACAUAUCCCACUUAAUAAUAUGUUGGUUUUGACAGGCAUCCCAUGCCAGAGACCUGACAUCGCCUGAGAGGCGGCGAGCGGAGAAGGCUGCGAAGGGGCUAGGGACGGUCAUGUACCUCAGCUGAUGGGGCCCAAAUUAGGAGCACUAGUAGCUGGGGUGUUGAGUUCAUUGCAGCUUAUGCUUAUGUUAUGUGACAAUCCCCACAUGAUCGGUUGUAAACAUACCAUGAUGAAAAUUUCGGCUAUGAGUUUA